UACGUAGGGAGCAAGCGUUGUCCGGAAUCAUUGGGCGUAAAGCGCGCGUAGGCGGCCUCAUAAGUCCGUUGUGAAAGUCAAAGGCUCAACCUUUGAAAGCCGAUGGAUACUGUGAGGCUAGAGUCCGGAAGAGGCGAGUGGAAUUCCUGGUGUAGCGGUGGAAUGCGCAGAUAUCAGGAGGAACACCGGUGGCGAAGGCGGGUCUCUGGGCCAUUACUGACGCUGAGGAGCGAAAGCGUGGGGAGCGAACAGG
rnacentral:rRNA from 1 species